rnacentral:rRNA from 1 species
CACGUAGGGUGCGAGCGUUGUCCGGAAUUAUUGGGCGUAAAGAGCUCGUAGGCGGUGUGUCGCGUCUGCUGUGAAAACUCAGGGCUCAACUCUGAGCUUGCAGUGGGUACGGGCACACUAGAGUGCUGUAGGGGAGACUGGAAUUCCUGGUGUAGCGGUGAAAUGCGCAGAUAUCAGGAGGAACACCGGUGGCGAAGGCGGGUCUCUGGGCAGUUACUGACGCUGAGGAGCGAAAGCAUGGGGAGCGAACAGG